rnacentral:rRNA from 1 species
GACGAACGCUGGCGGCGUGCUUAACACAUGCAAGUCGAACGGAGCACCUUUGAAAGAGACUUCGGUCAAUGGAUGAGACUGCUUAGUGGCGGACGGGUGAGUAACGCGUGAGGAACCUGCCUUUCAGAGGGGGACAACAGUUGGAAACGACUGCUAAUACCGCAUGAUGCAUGAUCAGGGCAUCCUGGACAUGCCAAAGAUUUAUCGCUGAAAGAUGGCCUCGCGUCUGAUUAGCUAGUUGGUAAGGUAACGGCUUACCAAGGCAACGAUCAGUAGCCGACCUGAGAGGGUGACCGGCCACAUUGGGACUGAGAUACGGGCCCAG